rnacentral:rRNA from 1 species
AUGGGCACCAGAUUGCAGCGUGAGUGCAGAUUAGCAUUUAUUUUAAGUGCUAUUAUGCAGGCCUUUGAAGUAGUCCAUGAAGGAAAGGAAUAUGUUCUGCACUCUGUCAGCUUCCAGCAGAAGUACGAGGAAGAGAUGGGCGAUGCGAUGGAAAAGAUGAGUUCAGAGAAGGGAAAGGAACAACUGACCCCGUCCUUUACCACAUAA